AAGUCGUAACAAGGUUUCCGUAGGUGAACCUGCGGAAGGAUCAUUAAUGAGAACGUGCCCUUCGGGGUAGAUCUCCCACCCUUUGUAUAUUAUACCUUUGUUGCCUUGGCAGGCCCGUCUUCGGACCGCUGGCUUCGGCUGGCCCGUGCCUGUCAGAGGACCCCCAAACUCUUUUGUUAAUAUUGUCCGAGUACUAUUUUAAUAGUUAAAA
rnacentral:misc_RNA from 1 species